UACAGUCACAGUUGUUAAAAUGGUGUCUUCAGUACGAAAUGCUUGAUGCAUGCAGUGGGUUUUUGAUUCUGUGCUAUAGUGUCGGUUUGCAAAUGGUCUAUAUUGCCCGAUCAGAUUGGCUGUAUUUGUAAAGGAGAAAACCUGGAAGGAGAUGGCCAAUUACUAAAGCUAAGCCCGAAGUUUAUACUAAUGACGCAUCUCUUCGCUUGCAAAACAACCAGAGUACCACGUGAUAUUCAUCUCACUCAGUUCGUCCAGGAACAUCCUGCGACCUGGCCGAAUUCAACAGAGAAUGUAAAUGCAGACUACUUCGGACGCAACACCGAAUGGUGUUCCAGCCUUGCAGAAGGGCGAUCCGUUGCCAGAUAACGUAACUAGUAGGGCCAUUUUCCUUGACGCUAGCGCCCGGGGUCAAGGAGCAAGUCAUAAAAGUGACGGAAAGUCUAUCAACUCGGAUCGCUGCUGCUGGUUUUCGAGCAGACGAUGAUUCAAUUAGCAGAACGAGCACCACAAGCGGCCAGUGUGCUGGAGUUUCUCCAAAAUUACCUGUCAAAUAUAUCCAUCAGACGAACGCAACCUGCAGCACUGAAAUUCAGACUCGCAUGGACCUCGUUGGUAUUUGUACAGAUAAAAGAGCACAACACAGAAUAAGUGCAAUAUAUUAAUGUGAUACGAAAUCAAAUUCAGGAACAAAAUAAUAAAAAUGUACUCUAAUUACAUAAAAUGAAUCGUAUGAUAAAUUUUAAAAUUUGCUUGGAACGAUACUAAUGCAUACAAAUGAGGUUCGUGAUAAAUUUUAACUUGCCUAACUCAAAUGUAUUAUUGUUACAUGUUAUCGCUGUGAAACUGAAAACUAAAUGUAAUUUCUCGCUGAAGGGGUGGUAUUGUGUUACGUUGAA